AACCAAACGGGACAGGUUAAAAAAAAAAGAAAAAAAAAAAAAGGUGAUACUGUGCAAAGGAGGUAACACCUCAUAUCUGAUGAAACACCUGGCGACGCAUAGCGUUUUUUUAAAAUCCGAGAAAUGCGCCGUAUUUGAUAGCUUGCUGCGAGACCUCACACCGUGCACAUCUACUAUGGUGUGGUGCCUGUUAUCGGACCCGGAGUUGGCAACAUCCCCCAAAAACCCGAAGAGUAGAGUCCUGGCCCCUAGCCCUGCCAGUGUAGCAGAAAUGAUGACGGAUGAUGAUGGCAGCAGCAGCCGUUCUCCUCUGCAUGGAAACCAGAAAAGAACGACACAGGCACCGAGAGUUCAUGCAAACACACAGCAGAGCCCCACCCGACCAGCAGGACCCAGAGUCCACGUGGAUGUGAACAGCUCCCUGCUGUGUGUGCCCCCAGCCAUGUUUCCUCCUCUGGUCCAGCUGUCAUGUAAAAGACAGAAGAAGAACGGAGGAGAACCGGAGGAGCUGGAGCUCAGAGAGUCAGGACGCAACGCCUCCAUCUUACUGAUCCAUCAGAACAGCACAUAUAAAUGUAACUGCUACGUGAAGCACAAGGGGGGCACAGUGGAGGCCCAAACACAACAAGAGGUUCCAGCUCCAGCAGCCUCCUGUCCUCCAGAGAGAGAGCCAGCAGACCUGCCAGCUCUGCAGCCAGCUGACUGUAAGAUCACCUGCUGCCUCUCUGCAUGGACAGCUCCAAUGUCCAAUGAGGGAGCUGGAACAAGUUUAGGGACUUAAAGUGUCACUAAUUGAUCAACUCUUCAUCUAACAAGCUCUGAUAAAGCCACUGUACACUAGCUGCUCAGCACCAAACAGCAGACAGACCAUAAUAUGUCAGAGAUCAGUUUGUUAGCUGCUUGUGGAGUUCUUCUGCCCC
ensembl:lncRNA